GAUGAACGCUGGCGGCGUGCCUAAUACAUGCAAGUCGAGCGAACAGACGAGGAGCUUGCUCCUCUGACGUUAGCGGCGGACGGGUGAGUAACACGUGGAUAACCUACCUAUAAGACUGGGAUAACUUCGGGAAACCGGAGCUAAUACCGGAUAAUAUAUUGAACCGCAUGGUUCAAUAGUGAAAGACGGUUUUGCUGUCACUUAUAGAUGGAUCCGCGCCGCAUUAGCUAGUUGGUAAGGUAACGGCUUACCAAGGCAACGAUGCGUAGCCGACCUGAGAGGGGGAUGGGCAACACGGGAACGGGGACACGGUCCAGACUCCAACGGAGGGCAGCGGUAGGGAAUCUUCCGCAAGGGGGAAAAGCCGGACGGGGCAACGCCGCGGGAGGAAUGAAGGUCUUCGGAUCGUAAAACUCUGUAUUAGGGAAGAACAAAUGUGUAAGUAACUAUGCACGUCUUGACGGUACCUAAUCAGAAAGCCACGGCUAACUACGU
rnacentral:rRNA from 1 species